GUUGGGAUUACUUUCGUCACCAACCCUGAUAAUGAAUUCUCAUCCAACCUUUGAUUUUAAAAUUAAAAUCAAUAAUAAGACUUUGUAGCGACUCUACUUUGAGGGUGUGAUGCCCGAUGCCUCUUAACAUAGGCUUUGAUUCACCUGUGGUCAGAUGACAGAUUUAAUGAGGUCUAGAGAGCAUCAUUGCCACUACAUGUUCACUAUUGCUCACCAAUCCUGAAGGGCCCAAUUUAAGGUGCCUACCUUUUUUGGCCCCCAUCAGUUUUAAGGAACAACCUUAAAGGAAAAAACUCAUUCCUACUGCAGAUCCUCAACCAUUAAUCUAAUAAGUUUGUCUCUAUAAAAAAUCCACACUUCCCUAAACUUGCUUUCCAUGCUCAUCUUUUGAUAUCCACUCCUUAAACAGACGAGAGAUCCAGGAAUUUGAUUCCACGAGUUUCAAAUAUACACACAAAAUCAACUCAUAACACAAUGCCUCUAUUAACCAUUGGUAAUCACACAAAAAGUCUUGCAAAUGCAAUUGUCAGACAGGCUUCUCACCAGGAAGGUAAGAAGGAGAUCCACCUUCAAUUUGGUUCUUCUUACGCUGGAAGAUGCCACUGAGAUUAGGCAGAAGUACUUUCUUGGAAACAGAAGUCUUCUCCUUCUCCAACUUCCGGACCUCAAUAACUUUCUGUGGUGCUGGGUUCUGCUUUUGAAUCCUAUAAUGGUGAGGAGAUGAUUCUAAUGGCAUCUGUGUCUCUGCUAGAAUCCUUGAUG
rnacentral:misc_RNA from 1 species